rnacentral:misc_RNA from 1 species
UGUUGGAAUGUGCUUGUUGAAGGAGAAGCCACAUGUAUUAACCCAUUCAUAAGAGUCGGAUGGAGCACAGUCUAUUUUGUUGAUUACCAGAAUCAAUGGAGAGCUACAUCCUGACGCAGUCUGAAACUGACUCCUUUGGAUUCUCUCAAGGAGCUUUGUAUCCUCCGGAGUCCACCCCUCUGCUGCACUUAUGGUCAUUAUUACGACAUCAGCAUUUCUGGCAACAGCUUCAGAUCUUUCCACACCAAUUUUUUCCACAAUAUCAUCAGUCUCCCUGAUUCCUGCAGUAUCAAGAAGUGUAA